rnacentral:rRNA from 1 species
CCUACGGGUGGCAGCAGUGGGGAAUAUUGCACAAUGGGGGAAACCCUGAUGCAGCGACGCCGCGUGAGUGAAGAAGUAUUUCGGUACGUAAAGCUCUAUCAGCAGGGAAGAAAAACCGGCCUUAGGGCCGCCAGACGGUACCUGACUAAGAAGCCCCGGCUAACUACGUGCCAGCAGCCGCGGUAAUACGUAGGGGGCAAGCGUUAUCCGGAUUUACUGGGUGUAAAGGGAGCGUAGACGGCAGCGCAAGUCUGGAGUGAAAUGCCGGGGCCCAACCCCGGAACUGAUUUGGAAACUGUGCAGCUGGAGUGCAGGAGAGGUAAGCGGAAUUCCUAGGGUGGCGGGGAAAUGCGUAGAGAUUAGGAGGAACACCAGGGGCGAAGGCGGCUUACUGGACUGUAAUUGACGUGGAGGCUCGAAAGCGUGGGGAGCAAACAGGAUUAGAUACCCGGGUAGUC